rfam:Alligator mississippiensis ScZkoYb_239, whole genome shotgun sequence.
CUUCCUACUUGGCAGGGGAGAUACCAUAAUCAAGGUUGUUUUCCCAGGGUGAGAUCUGUCCCUUGCACUCCAGGCAGAAUGACCCCUGCAAGUUUCCAGAUGUGGAAAACUCAACUGCACAAUUUUGUAGUAACAGGGGACUGUUUGUGCUUCCCCCC